ACUGGGCGUGUUGGCUCACGCCUGUAAUCCCAGCACUUUGGGAGGUUGAGGCAGGGGGAUCACAUGAGGCCAGGAGUUGGAGACCCGCCUGGCCAACAUAGUGAAACCCUGUCUCUA
rnacentral:SRP_RNA from 1 species